GGUGAAAAGAGGUAAAACUUGCCUGUCAGCAGCUCGGCGUCUUCACAGCAUCGAUCCAAUUGCAGCCAAACCCAGCAAAAAAUAGACUUGUAAGGGGAAAAGUUGAAAAUCAGAAAAAGCAAACGUUGCAAACCGACGGAAGGCUUCACUAGAUCUGAUGCUUCCUCAUUCAAACAUGACAACGUUUAUGCGAGUGUGUGCUGGGGAAAGAUUAACAAUCCUUCAGACCAAGUUCUAACAUCAUGUGGCAUUAAGAAUAAGAGCCCUCUCCAGCUUCAUUUGUUUACCAAUCACUACAAUAGUUGAUCACACGGAUGAGGAAGUAAAGUGAACAUAGUUUUACAAAUAUAAGAUUCCAUGUACAACAAAUGAUCAGCACAUUACCUAUGUGCCUCUAAAGGUUUCCUCUUGGCGCUCCCUUCCACUAUGUAAAGGUUCA